rnacentral:rRNA from 1 species
CUGUCUGUGUUCAAAACCCGAUAAGGCAUUUAUGCAUUCGGCGUUCCCGAUUUAACGUUUUGGUCGCUUCUCUAUUCCAAGAUGGAGAAAGGAGGGCUCGCUAAAGCUGGUCCUUUUUAGAACAUUGGUGGAGCAGCGGCAAAACCGAGCUGCCGGUCCCGGUGCUGAUACUCGGGCGGCAGCAGAGGUGGCGCCCCUCGGUGCGGUCUCCCUCGUCGGCGGAGGAACCGGCCUUCCUCACAAGGCCGGCAGCCAAAGCAGCGGUGUGCGUACGGUUUCCCGCUGCGACGUCUCCCGGUCAUCUCCCGGCAACGGAGACCGCGGCGACUAGACGCGCCUACGCUCGGCUCCCGGCGUAGCAAGCGGACCCUCGCAGCGGCCGGAGCCAGAAGACACGGCGCUGCGCCAACCUCCGGCAGGAGUACCCGCGGCUCGGACGGUAGACACUGAACGCGUCACCCUCCCGCACUUCGGUUCGUGUUGCCGCCCCGGACACCGGUGCCGUGUGGCUCUCCUCGUGGCAGCCCGGCUCCCGGCGACGCACGAGGCGCGACCCUCGGCGUAUGCAGUGACCCUUCCGCAGCGGCGCGAGCGCGCAAUCCGCCGGCAACCGCCGAAGCGCGGAUCCGCCGCGGCGGAGCAAUGGCGUCCUGCGCUUCGGCCACUAAGGCCAGAGGGUCAGAUCCUCCCCGGCUCCGGUUUGCUUCGACUACAGGUAGCUACCGCAGGAACUACGUUCUACCGCUGCUCGCGGUGGUGGUCAGGUCACUGCUACACGUACCACGCUCCGACGGCGAACCUUCGUGAAGGCGGCCCGACUCCCGGCGACUCCAUCGCCCGCGGUGGUGCGGACCGGCUCCCGACUCCGGCAGGUUGAUCGCUCGCUACGGCAUCGGCCCCUUGCGGCGUGGCCACCUCAGCGAGACGGCCCUCGCCGACUAUUGUAUAACUUUAUCUUGUUCUGCGUUAGACUAUCAUUACUUUUUGACACAGAUAACUACUACUGUUCAAUGUAUAAAUAUCAGGGGCUUCCCCGCGUAGGCCUCCCUGUGCUGCCAAUGUUCUCAACGUAGAGAAACAUACUGUCAAACCUAUUCACCUCUAAAUUGGGAAUUAAUUGAACACAAUUAAUUCAGAAUUGUCAAAUUAGUGGCAUAAUCCUUUUCACUAACCGGGUAGGACUU